UACGUAGGUGGCGAGCGUUGUCCGGAGUUAUUGGGCGUAAAGCGCGCGCAGGCGGCUUGGCGCGCCCGACGUGAAAGCCCCCGGCUUAACCGGGGAGAGUCGUCGGGGACGGCCGGGCUUGAGGGCGGGAGAGGGUGGUGGAAUUCCCGGUGUAGUGGUGAAAUGCGUAGAUAUUGGGAGGAACACCAGUGGCGAAGGCGGCUCACUGGACCGGUUCUGACGCUGAGGCGCGAAAGCGUGGGGAGCAAACGGG
rnacentral:rRNA from 1 species